UGAAAUGUUAUGGAUAGCGCGGAAAUUAAACGAGCCCCCCAAUGGAUCCGUUCUUCGGUAAGCAAAAUGCUUGUUGCCAUCUGUGGACAGGAGGCUUGAACGAAAGCCAGGCCAAUUGCCCAACUACUCGAAUGAUCAUAUGCCCAGGCUAAAUGCCAACAUCGUGCUUAGCCAAUGCCUUCUGCAAGGCAUGCAGUGUCUGGUUUAUCGAUAGUACAGGCAAAUUCUGGUAGUGGUAUUUCCUCGGGAAAGAACGAUACCUGCGGUUGGCAGUAGGAUACCUAGCCUUCCGGCCUGUCUGGAACCCACAUACGGAUAUCUCGAUGGCUAUAACCUCCCUCAACGUCUAUAACUGGUCACACAGGACAAAGGCCACGCAAUUACUUUGCGACAGGCCCACGACAAAUGACGUAAAUCGAAACGGAUGGAACACGAUCGCGCGCCGACACACCAAUUACUACUAACAGGAAUUCCUUUGAAAGUAUUUUAUUUGAGGUUGCAUAAUAGAAAGAAGACAUUCACAAGCGCGCUAGUCUGCGGCAGUUAGGAAUUUCACGUAAGCUUAUUGACGAAGCUAGGCAUUUCGCUCCACGGCGCUCGCAGACGCUAGAACGCACAGUGCUCUCUGUAGAGAUGGAGAAGGAUGAAAGCGGCUUUUGUGAUCCCUCACGUAUCCUUGUCUCCGCAUUCCAGCGUUCGAAGAGGAGCCAGUCGGAAGUUACCCGAAACGACGCAAUCCAAACCCAGCGUGCAUCCCCGCAUGCGCAUUUCUCCCUGGUAAGGCAUGCAGGGCUUCUUAACCAUCCAUGUACAGAACGCUUCCGUAACUUGCGUACAAUGUUAUGAAUGCUACGACCAGCCUUUAAGUGGAUUCACUCCAUGAUAUUACUGGUACAGUUGCUGAGGAAAAUGUUUUCAAAGCCAUUGAUGGUGGAGGGCACUGCCUUGCCGGGGUCAGGGUAAGUCCUGUACACAUUCUGAAACCCAGUAUUACCUACAAAAUAGAAGACACACGUAGGAAUUUGCACGAAAUGAAACUGAAACGUGAUAACGAGUGAAACAAGCCUUGAGCUCGACGGUGGGCGACACGAAGCAGGAUAAGAAGUGAGCGACUAUAACCUACCUAUGUCAUGCAUAACGUACACGGACAUAGAGUUCCGGCUGGUGAAGAAUUUGCAAGCUGUGACUAACCCAAACCGUCUGCUCGUCUUUCUCUCAGGCUCCUCACGAGAAAUCGUGUGAUGGAUGAUUAUGUGUCAGAAUCAAAUUUUUGGUAACUGAAGUAGCUUAAAG
rnacentral:lncRNA from 1 species